AACGAACGCUGGCGGCGUGUUUAAGACAUGCAAGUCGCACGGGGAACUACUGGUAUUUAUAUUGGGAGUUUCUAGUGGCGCACGGGUGAGUAACACGUGAAUUACAUGCCCUGUAGAGGGGAAUAGCCCGCCGAAAGGUGGAUUAAUACCCCAUGGUCCGGUAACGGUAAAGGGGGCUUCGGCUCUCGCUACAGGAUUGGUUCGCGCCCUAUCAGCUAGUUGGUGGAGUAACGGCCCACCAAGGCAACGACGGGUACCUGGUUUGAGAGGACGAUCAGGCACACUGGAACUGAGACACGGUCCAGACACCUACGGGUGGCAGCAGUCGAGAAUAAUUCACAAUGGGGGCAACCCUGAUGGUGCAACGCCGCGUGGAGGAUGACGGUCUUCGGACUGUAAACUCCUGUCAUCUGGGAGUAAGACCUGGCCGUUUAAUAGCGGACAGGGUUGAUAGUACCAGAAGAGGAAGGGACGGCU
rnacentral:rRNA from 1 species